rnacentral:rRNA from 1 species
GGAGGGUGCGAGCGUUAAUCAGAAUUACUGGGCGUAAAGCGCACGUAGGCGGUUGGGUAAGUCGGAUGUGAAAGCCCUGGGCUUAACCUGGGAACUGCAUUCGAUACUGCCCGGCUAGAGUAUGGGAGAGGGAAGCGGAAUUUCCGGUGUAGCGGUGAAAUGCGUAGAUAUCGGAAGGAACACCAAUGGCGAAGGCAGCUUCCUGGCCCAAUACUGACGCUCAGGUGCGAAAGCGUGGGGAUCAAACAGGAUUAGAUACCCUGGUAGUCCACGCUGUAAACGAUGAGAACUAGAUGUUGGGAGGGUUUUGCCUCUCAGUGUCGCAGCUAACGCGCUAAGUUCUCCGCCUGGGGAGUACGGCCGCAAGGUUG